rnacentral:rRNA from 1 species
AACGAACGCUGGCGGCAGGCUUAACACAUGCAAGUCGAGCGCCCCGCAAGGGGAGCGGCAGACGGGCGAGUAACGCGUGGGAAACUACCGUUUGCUACGGAAUAACCCAGGGAAACUUGUGCUAAUACCGUAUGUGCCCUUCGGGGGAAAGCUUUAUCGGCAAAGGAUGAGCCCGCGUUGGAUAAGCUAGUUGGUGGGGUAAAGGCCCACCAAGGCGACGAUCCAUAGCUGGUCUGAGAGGAUGAUCAGCCACACUGGGACUGGGACACGGCCCAGACUCCUACGGGAGGGAGCAGUGGGGAAUAUUGGACAAUGGGCGCAAGCCUGAUCCAGCCAUGCCGCGUGAGUGAUGAAGGCCCUAGGGUUGUAAAGCUCUUUCACCGGUGAAGAUAAUGACGGUAACCGGAGAAGAAGCCCCGGCUAACUUCGCGCCAGCCGCCGCCGUAAUAC